AUGAAGAGAAAAGCAAUGAGGAAUGAUGCUACAGGUAAUCAUGAGGUGUGCACAGCCAAGGCCUGUAUACCUGUGCUGUGUGCCCAGCUCACAAAAACAUCCUCCCCAGCUGCUGCUGGAAGGGACUGCCUUGAUCACUUGCACCUCGCAGCCUGGCUGGCAGCCCUUGGCACUUCCAAGGAGUUGAAGAUAAAUGAAGCAAGGGCUUUCAGCAACCUGAUAGUGCCACAACUGCACAAAGCAAGCUUUUCCUGUCCUGACAAGGGUGCGGGGUAAAAGAGGCCAUAAUACCACCAUAUUCUUAUAUAAAUACUUACACAAAUGCAAUAUCUUCUGUCUGGAAAGCAUUUGCAAUAAUAUGGGUAGUGUGUGUAACCACUUGCACUUUUUUAUAUACUAAAUCAUCCCAGGAGCUCUUACACAGGGCAAGUGGAAGAGAUCUUCUUCAUUCAUCUAAAGGGGAAUCCUGUCCCUACCCCAUGACAUUCAUUUCAAUACUCAAGCUUUGCUAGAGGACUGAGAGGACUACCAGCAAGCAUCAGCUGAUUUGGGACAUGCAGAUGGCAGCAGCCAUGGCACUGAAGAGACUGCAUGACAGUAACAAAGCAUGAGUUAUCUUGAGGGAGCUGGCCAGUGGUCUCCAGCUGGCUCCAGGCCCCAGCUCAGAAGGUCACACAGCUGACAUAUCAUCCUGUGAGUCACCCUCUGAUACUGCCUGUGUCCAGCAUAACUCAUGUGGUUUGGCAGCACUGAGGGAACUUCCUCCUCCUCCUCCUCGCUUGCUGCCCAGAGUCAAUGUUGCUCUACAGAACACACGAGACAGCAAAGCCACCAAGAGACAGAUGGCAACUCGACCAUCUUGUUAGUCAUCAUCGCCUCCUUGAGUGGCAGCACCAGACAAGAUUCAUACCACAAAUGCCACUUACAAACUGUCUAGAUGAUGUAUCAGCACAGCCAAAAUACAUCUACCUACAUCAAAAAUAAAGCUUUGCAGCCCAAGUCA
rnacentral:lncRNA from 1 species